AUCGAAAUAUUUGGAAAUAUUCAUGUUAGACACAAAAAUACUCUCUGAUCAUGGUACAAUAUGACAUUCUCUUUUGUUGUUAUUAAUCUUGUACAACAUAGAAAACUCAUAGCGAUUGACCUGCAGAGUGUUUGCAAAAUAACAUAUUUGGUUUUACCUGAAAAACGUUAUACAAUCCUUGAACAAGCAACAGAAAUCAUUUUGAAUUUUAACAGUACCAAAUUAACAUGACAAAUAGUAACCAGAACUCUGCUGGGGGAAUUCUUCUAUGCACAUAGGCACGAUGGUGAAAACGCGACUGUACGAUCGUACUAUCGCAUGAUCGCGUUUUCGUCAUCGUAUUGUCGUGUUUUCGUUAUCAAAGUAUGGUGAUUUCGCGUUUACAUCUUCGUACCAUCGAGUAUCACGUUCAGAUGAACACAUUCAAAGGCGAUGGCCCUAACGGAAUUCCGUACAUUUAACGUUUUUAUGUCGCUUUUUGCGGCUAAGUAAUUGUGUAUUCGAAAGCUGAUUUUUUUCCACAAAACACACCAAUGGCAUGGGUGCGACUCAUUUUUGUGUCCUUAUUUUCAACAUUAUUUAAAAAAACAUUUAUGUUAAUAUUGAUAUGACUCAGAUAAAUCCAUAGUGUACUAGUAUUUGGAUUAAUCGCCCCUAAAUGUUUAUUUUUGAAAUAUACUUUGAACGUGAAUAAUGUUUGUUAAGCGAGAGAAAGAAGAAAUUCAUAGGUUUGUUGGAGAGAAGAUUGAAAAAUUAUCAUAGCUCCAUGUUCUAUGUUACUGCUUCGCCUCAAUCAAAACAGAUUAUUUGUGCAGCACAAAAAAAGACAAGUCAACGCCGCGAAAAACAGUAUUAUUUAUCAAGUUAAAAUGGGAUCGGGUAUCAAAAGAGCAGAUAAUUGUUUACUGUUGAUUUAAUAUAAUCUGUUUUCAUUUCAACAUAAUUUAUUUCCUUUUCAAUCACAGUCGUAACUAAGUUUCUUGAAAGGAAUAUGAGCCGGAAAAUUUAAAUACGUCAAAAUCUUUUAUUUCUCUUUAGAUAAUUAUCUUUCACUUGCGCAAUGACUGUGGGAUAUAAGGUAAUGCGCGUUCCUUACUUAGUGAUCAUACGACACCAGACCGACUGUGUAGCACCGAUCAAUAUACGACGUAAUAAAAUAUAACAAAUCACGGCAAAUAGAAUAUUUCGCAUUCUAAAUCCUGUCUUAUUUACACUACCUUACGUUUAAGUUUUCAACCUAUUCAGAAUUUUUUAAACAUACCAAUAAACUUAAGUUUAAUUUCUUUACUCCAAUAACAAGAAAACUAUAUAUCAUACAUCUUAACCCAUAUAAUGCUGGACACGGCUGAUUCUGCCUUUGCGACCAGUGUAGAUCAUGGUCAGCCUGCACUGAUCAGCCUGCACAUCAGUGCAGUUUGAUCAAGAUCUGCUCUGUUCGCAAUUCAAUCAGGGUUCCCUUGUAACAGUGACUAGUACCGUCCAAAUUGAAACUGGGACAAGUUCAUUAUAGCAAUUUAGCAUAGUAAGGGUAAAACUGUAUAUCUCUGGGUGGGGGUAGGCAGAGAAGAAACAAUCAGUUCCACCGAGUUACCUGAAACAAUGCCUACAAAAUGUUUGCUUUGCAUUUCAUGCAUUCACAUUUACAAACAGAAACUGACACCUUUCGGUCAGCUAUGUUUUGAUGUAUUUUGUGGAUAUGUGUUUCAUUCUGCAAACUGUUCUACUUGAAUACGGAAAUUAUUUUUAAUAAUUCAUGAUACACAGUGAGUAAAUAAAUCAUAAAAACGGCAACAUUACUAUUUUAUUAUUUACUAAAGAUAUAACAUUUCCAAGCGUUUGACGCCGUAAAUAAUUACAGUGUGUUAAAAGCAGCGUGAAUUUUGCGAAUCCCUUAAAAUGUAAUAUUUACAGCUAUCUCAUCAACAUUUAGAUUGUAGAAAACAUAAUUAAACGAUAUUGGUUCAACGCCAAUAAAACACAACUUGACCCGUUAUAUUAUACCACUCCCAUUCCUUUGCACAAAGUUAAAAGGGUCCUCUAUUUCAGCCAAUCAGAUACAAAGGAGAAAGAUAAGUCACACCUACAGGCAUGACGUAAUAUGUAAAAUAGACCCUCUUAUACCUGUGCAUUGUUUCAACAAUAAAAGAAUAUUCUUUUUGACAGGAAUUUUCCGAAAUGAGCUUGUUUAUUGUCUAGGUUAUGUUGUCUUUAAGUAAAUUUAUAUAGAAUAAUGCGGCAAUUAUAAAUAUAAGAAUAAACAUUAAAUAUUAUGUAAUAUUUAUCCAGAGAAUUAUUGAAAUAUUUGAGCGAAAUGUGUUUUGGUAGCACCAAGACGAAAUUGUCAUAUUAGAAUGGAUCAGAUAUGCAAAAUUUGGGGAAAUCAAUGAAAAACUUCAAAGUAAAUAGAAAAUUAAUUUAUUAUAUCAAAAUACCCGGAGUAAUAUUUUGUUGCACAUGUUGGUAUUAUUAUAUCCAGCUUUCCUUGAGGCAAAAAAAAGGGAAAGAAAAGAAGCAGUUAUACGUUUUAACACAAAUGCUGCGGUCAGAUCUUUUAAAGAUAUAUACAAGUGUGUCAGAAGUUUAUUGCUUUUAAAUUGUUUGGAUCCUUGCUUAUUUUUCUAAAGUCCGUCUGUUAUAGAAGUGCUUAUUGCGAACAUACUUAUGAAGGGAGGGUCGUUAUUUGAUUUCUGCGGAAAUGUUAAUUUAACUGGUGUUUCGGUGUCGUUCUUCAUUUUGUUCCUUGAAUUAUAAAAAAGAAACAUAAAUUAAAUGGUAGUUAUAACGAACUUUCAAGAUGUAAAAUCUGAUUCGUUGUAAAAUAUAUAAAAUUUUCCCGUUAUUUUUACACAGACCACCAGAAUAUACAUUGACUAAAAUUGUUUUGUGAAUUACUUUGCAUUAAGAGGAACAUUAAUAUAUGCUCUAACGUGCGUUGGGUGUGCUUAUUAUUAUUAUUAUUAUUAUUAUUAUCAUUAUUAUUCUCAAUUCCUACAAGACCAACGUACUCGCGAUUUAAUAUGCAAGUUAUAUUCACUCUCUAGAAGCUUGUCCCAAGUAUUUCGUUCGUAUGAGAUAACUUCUGAAACUACUCAAAUAUUUAUCAUUCUUCAAAAUAUAUGCUAUAAUAUGAGCAAAGAAAAUAUACAGACAUAAAUGAUAAUAAAAGAACAAGAGCGGUAAGAGAGUGUCUGAUCGGUAGCAAGAUUAGUGAAAUAAAUUUAAUACAUAACAUUAUUGUAUUAUUUUUAUUUAGCAAUUUACUGAUAUGAACGGGUAACUUUAAUAUCAGGCAUAUAACGUUCACUGUUCUAAACAGAAUGAUUUUCGUUUUUACUGCCACAGGACCAAACUUGAAUUCUGAAGAGUAUGAAUUUAAAAAAAAAAGUGGAACUUCCCGAAAAGUAUUAAUCAGUAAAGUCUGCAAAAGCAAAUAGAAUUUGAAUUUCUCUCCAUGGUAUUCAAAUAUAAAGAAAAUAUAAAAAAUAAUAUGAAUCAAGGCACUGCCUCAAUCGGGAUUUAAAGGUAGAUUUUGUAAUAAAAAAUACUGCCCAUGCUUGUACUAAGCAAGUGCAAAACAUUGCGGUUCGGACAAGUUAUGUGGACGCUUAUUACGCACAAGGAAAAAGCGUAUUCUUCCAAAAAUCCGAAGUCAGACGCUCUGUGCACGUGUCGGAAAGACACAUUUUUUUUUAAUUCCUUCGAUAGUAUAUCUCAUUCGGUAUAUAUCGUAUGUUACUGUAGAGGGUUCGAUUCCCGGCCACGUCAUACCAAAGACGUGAAAUGGCACCAGUAGUUCCCUUGCUUGGCGCUCAGCAUUAAUGGGAAACUGGCCUCAUCUCCCAUACCCUCUUGGCGGUGGAUUCAAUCAGGAAUGAGGUGUCGAGAGUGAUUAAUGUAAGUUGUAGAACUUGCUUUACAAUUGACCGAAAAUAAAUGUAUAAACUAAAUGCGUAUCAUAAAAAAAUAAAAUAAAAAAAGCAUUUAAAACACAUGAAAAGAAAAUAAGUACGAUCGGAUUUCAAACAUGUUUUUACUUCUUUUCACAUUUUACCUGCGUGUUAGCGAAAAUAUUGCAUCUGAUGUCAACACUAUGAGAAAUAUUUCCAUUUAAGACUGAUAAAGAAACAAACAAACAUUCCUUAUACCGUAACACUUAAUUAGAUAAGAGUCUAAAGAGACUUUAAAACCUAAUCUAUCAUGUGAUAUAUCAAUGUAAUAAAAAUGUCAUAUUAUAGCUCAUCUAACACCAGUCCGAAUUGCAAUGGAUCCGUCCAAUUAAGCGUAUCAGGUCAUAAACCCCCCGCUGUCACGACGUAGUGACUUUAAAUUGGAUUAGUGCGAGAGAACAUACAGGCUCUGAUUAAGGACUUUAUUCAGGUAUGUCGGUUCAUAAAGACGCCUGAUGUCGGGACGGUGAAGGCACGUCUACAAGAUAAUGUGGUGUAAACAGACGGUAAACGUAAUUUCCGGACACAGAUGCGACUUGCAAGGGUCAAAAUCUUUAAAUUAUGAUCUCUAUGUGCAUGCGAAUAUCUUCAGCCGACUUGCGAAAUGUCCAAACAGCUCCAACUGCUACCUAAGAUGAUAACACGCGGACGAUAAAGGAAUGAAGGGUAUGUCUGCUUCACUACGAUUGACAAAACUUGCACAUCUACUUUCAAGCUGGUGAAAGCACGACUUCAAGAUGUAAGCUAAGGAAGAAGAUGGUAAUUUCCGGCCACAAGUGUCAAAAUCUUAAAAUUAGGGUCGAAGAGAAAUAUAAGUCUCCUUGCGGUAAACCAGAAUACAGCACGGCAUUUUGCUUCAUAUACGUGUUAUUCAAAAGACAACAACAGUUUAAAGCCAAAGGAACCCAAUCUAACAAAUUGUGUCAGUCGUUGGACAUUCUACAUCAUGAUCUGUUAUAUCGUUUGGAAAUUCUUCCCAUUGCUGUUGAAAUACCUUCUAUCAUUUAAUGGAUAUUUAACUAGAACAGAACGGAAGAGAACAGAACAGAACGGACCAGAACAGAACUCUCAGUCAGCAUUUACAUCUCUGUAAACGGCAUCGAUAUUGCCAUUUAAUUUAUCAUAUAUUUAUCGAUUUAUAACUGGUAUUCUGCGGACUCCGUAAUUGAUACAUUGACAUUUUCUUGACAAAAUAUUGAUAAAUCAGUUGAUAGACCGAUAUCGAUGUUUGAUUUUGCUGUUAUCCGAAUUCAGAAAGCAGCA